rnacentral:rRNA from 1 species
UACGUAGGGUGCGAGCGUUGUCCGGAAUUAUUGGGCGUAAAGAGCUCGUAGGCGGCUUGUCACGUCGGAUGUGAAAGCCCGGGGCUUAACCCCGGGUCUGCAUUCGAUACGGGGCAGGCUAGAGUGUGGUAGGGGAGAUCGGAAUUCCUGGUGUAGCGGUGAAAUGCGCAGAUAUCAGGAGGAACACCGGUGGCGAAGGCGGAUCUCUGGGCCAUUACUGACGCUGAGGAGCGAAAGCGUGGGGAGCGAACAGG